GACGAACGCUGGCGGCGUGCCUAAUACAUGCAAGUUGAGCGCUGAAGGUUGGUACUUGUACCAACUGGAUGAGCAGCGAACGGGUGAGUAACGCGUGGGGAAUCUGCCCUUGAGCGGGGGACAACAUUUGGAAACGAAUGCUAAUACCGCAUAAAAACUUUAAACACAAGUUUUAAGUUUGAAAGAUGCAAUUGCAUCACUCAAAGAUGAUCCCGCGUUGUAUUAGCUAGUUGGUGAGGUAAAGGCUCACCAAGGCGAUGAUACAUAGCCGACCUGAGAGGGUGAUCGGCCACAUUGGGACUGAGACACGGCCCAAACUCCUACGGGAGGCAGCAGUAGGGAAUCUUCGGCAAUGGACGAAAGUCUGACCGAGCAACGCCGCGGGAGUGAAGAAGGUUUUCGGAUCGUAAAACUCUGUUGGUAGAGAAGAACGUUGGUGAGAGUGGAAAGCUCAUCAAGUGACGGUAACUACCCAGAAAGGGACGGCUAACUACGUG
rnacentral:rRNA from 1 species